GAUGAACGCUAGCUACAGGCUUAACACAUGCAAGUCGAGGGGAAACGCUGAGAGAGCUUGCUCUCUUAGGCGUCGACCGGCGCACGGGUGAGUAACGCGUAUCCAACCUACCCAUCACAGGGGGAUAACCUUGCGAAAGUAAGACUAAUACCCCAUGACAUUUUAUGGUGGCAUCAUUAUAGGAUUAAAGAUUUAUUGGUAUUGGAUGGGGAUGCGUCUGAUUAGCUUGUUGGCGGGGUAACGGCCCACCAAGGCAACGAUCAGUAGGGGUUCUGAGAGGAAGGUCCCCCACAUUGGAACUGAGACACGGUCCAAACUCCUACGGGAGGCAGCAGUGAGGAAUAUUGGGCAAUGGGCGGGAGCUUGAAACAGCCAAGUAGCGUGCAGGAUGACGGCGCUAUGGGUUGUAAACUGCUUUUAUAGGGGAAUAGAGUGAGCUACGUGUAGUUUAUUGAAUGUACCCUAUGAAUAAGGACCGGCUAAUUCCGUG
rnacentral:rRNA from 1 species